UGGCUGUGAUGAAUAUGUGCCUUAGUGUCAGCGGGUCUGUCACAACUUCUGAAAUUGCACGAAGAAGAAAAUCGGCACUUCUGAGCUU